rnacentral:rRNA from 1 species
GUGGGGAAUUUUGGACAAUGGGCGAAAGCCUGAUCCAGCCAUGCCGCGUGCAGGAUGAAGGCCUUCGGGUUGUAAACUGCUUUUGUACGGAACGAAAAGACUCCUUCUAAUAAAGGGGGUCCAUGACGGUACCGUAAGAAUAAGCACCGGCUAACUCUGUGCCAGCAGCCGCGGUAAUACAGAGGGUGCAAGCGUUAAUCGGAAUUACGGGGCGUAAAGCGUGCGCAGGCGGCUCUGCAAGACAGAUGUGAAAGCCCCGGGCUCAACCUGGGAACUGCAUUUGUGACUGGAAGACUAGAGGGCGUCAGAGGGAGGUGGAAUUCCGGGUGUAGCAGUGAAAUGCGUAGAGAUGCGGAGGAACACCGAUGGCGAAGGCAGCCUCCUGGGAUGACACUGACGCUCAUGCACGAAAGCGUGGGGAGCAAACAGGAUUAGAAACCCCGGUAGUCC